rnacentral:lncRNA from 1 species
UCAAAGAAGUCAACCAAACAUGUAUCAACUUCAAUAAUUCAUAAAUCAGUGACAACAUAUGAGAAAUGAAUGGGAUCAAAACCAUGUCAAAGCUUAAUAUGUCUACUAAUCACAUGUCAAAUUUCAAGUUCAUCCAAUUAGGUAUGAGAAUUUCACAAAUGAAAUGGGAACAUGUAUCACAAAAGUCAACAUUUUGGUCAAACAGGGGAGAAAAUCCCAAACAAUUAGGAAAUGCC